UCCAGACUCCUACGGGAGGCAGCAGUGGGGAAUAUUGCACAAUGGGGGAAACCCUGAUGCAGCGACGCCGCGUGAGCGAAGAAGUAUUUCGGUAUGUAAAGCUCUAUCAGCAGGGAAGAAAAAAAUGACGGUACCUGAGUAAGAAGCACCAGCUAAAUACGUGCCAGCAGCUGCGGUAAUACGUAUGGUGCAAGCGUUAUCCGGAUUUACUGGGUGUAAAGGGAGCGUAGGCGGCGCGUUAAGUCUGGUGUGAAAACCCGAGGCUCAACCACGGGAGUGCAUUGGAAACUGGCGGGCUGGAGUGCCGGAGAGGUAAGCGGAAUUCCUAGUGUAGCGGUGAAAUGCGUAGAUAUUAGGAGGAACACCAGUGGCGAAGGCGGCUUACUGGACGGCAACUGACGCUGAGGCUCGAAAGCGUGGGGAGCAAACAGGAUUAGAUACCCCGGUACC
rnacentral:rRNA from 1 species